CUCCUUCCUCCCCCUUAUUUUCCUGGACUCCAGACUUUGCCCAGUCGGUUUGGCCGCUGCCCUUUCCGCAGGAACCGCUGUUUGUUUAGUUGGGACUGUCGUCAUGGUCUGCGCUGGGGAACUGUGUCACCGACUGGAUGCCAGCCCUCAAACGUCUCCUGACCGAUGCAGGCAGUGCUGUACUUAAGUGGAACCCCAGCCCAGCCAACUCCCAGCCGUGUUGCCUCACAGCAGCGGUUACCAGCCUUUUCUGUGCUGUGGGCCCCUCUGGUCACCUGGGGGGUCCCAUGUACCCCAUUUACAGAAUGUUUGUAAAUGAAUAAAAUAAAACUACAAGGAGUU
rnacentral:lncRNA from 1 species